AGCCAAAAUACAGCAUCAGUAAACAUCACCGCACCUGUACUCCUCCGUCAACUCUGUCGCCGCCGCUACUGACUACACGGAUACGAGCCUCGCAGCCGCGGGAGAGUUACCUGAGAAACAGAACGAAGAAAAGAUCAAAAGCCGUUGCUAUUGAUUCUCGGAAACCGAAUCCCUGUCGAACUCCCCGUCAGGCCAUUCCGUCUUUGAUCGAGCG
rnacentral:lncRNA from 1 species